rnacentral:lncRNA from 1 species
UGGCCAACUUGAUCGAUUAAGUUUUGAAUAAGGUUGCUUAGUCAUUCAUGUUCACCAAUGCCGACUAGGAUCAUCGGACAUGAGAUUGUGCUAACCUGAACCUGAACCUGGUCAGUCAAACAUGAGAUUGGGCUGACUAGAUGAGACUUGAAUCCAAACCAUCCCAUAAAUAUUAAGUCCUAGGUCUUCCACCAUUGUAGGAGUGCAGGCAUCCUACUGGUGUUGACUGUUCUCAACUGGUUACAGUGGUUCAGUUAUACUGAAAAGACACAACUAUCCUAUUAGCAUGAGAUGUUGCUAGAUAAUGAUCGGGUUGUGCCCAAUAAAUCGAGCAUGGUGAGGGAUCUGAUGACGGCUUUAUCUAUGUAUUGAAUGGUGGGUCUGACUUAACUAAGGAUUGAGCCAAUAAAAUGGGCACAUUGAGACUUCAUGACUUAGAGACCAAUCACUGUAUCAUGCUUGAAAAGUAUUAGACAAUAAUUAUCCACUCAUCGGUAUAGCAUGGCCCAAUAUACUAGACACGAUAAGAUUCACGCAUAUCGAUGGGAUCGUAGUAUUCACUAGGAAUCCUAGUCGCGUACGGAUUUUCGCAUCUCCACGAGAGAGUAUGAGAGAUCCGUAAAAAUAGUGAGAGUCUAAUUUAUUUCUUGAAGUCCCUAAAAUUAAUUUUUAAAAUCUAAGUACAAUGUCUAACUUGAAUCUCUACUCUUGCAGUUAACCAUAUCAGCCUCCAACCUUUUAACCCGCAUUCUAAAGUCCAACCGACUAGUUGGCCGAAACUACAAAGAAUGGUUCAGAAAUCUCAAGAUUGCCUUAAGUUCAAAGAAGUUAGACUAUAUGCUUGAUCAAGACCCUCCCAUUCUACCUGACCAUCCAAGUGUCCGUCAAACGACAGCACAAGAAAAAUGGAUGGAAGACGAAAAUAAGAUGAAGUAUUACAUUCUGACUUCAAUGUCAAAUAAGUUACAGAGCCAACAUAAAGAAUAUGCCUACUGUCAGGACCAUAAUUACUCAUCUGCAAGAAUUGUAUGGUGAGCAGAGCCGCACUGCACGCUUUGAAAUCUCUAAAA